CCUACGGGAGGCUGCAGUGGGGAAUAUUGCACAAUGGGCGCAAGCCUGAUGCAGCCAUGCCGCGUGUGUGAAGAAGGCCUUCGGGUUGUAAAGCACUUUCAGCGGGGAGGAAGGCGUUAAGGUUAAUAACCUUGUCGAUUGACGUUACCCGCAGAAGAAGCACCGGCUAACUCCGUGCCAGCAGCCGCGGUAAUACGGAGGGUGCAAGCGUUAAUCGGAAUUACUGGGCAUAAAGCGCACGCAGGCGGUCUGUCAAGUCGGAUGUGAAAUCCCCGGGCUCAACCUGGGAACUGCAUUCGAAACUGGCAGGCUAGAGUCGUGUAGAGGGGGGUAGAAUUCCAGGUGUAGCGGUGAAAUGCGUAGAGAUCUGGAGGAAUACCGGUGGCGAAGGCGGCCCCCUGGACAAAGACUGACGCUCAGGUGCGAAAGCGUGGGGAGCAAACAGGAUUAGAUACCCCAGUAGUC
rnacentral:rRNA from 1 species